rnacentral:rRNA from 1 species
CAAAAACAUGUCUCUUUGUAAAAUAUAAAUAGAGAGUCGGGCCUGCUCGGUGAAUAAGUUUUUAACAGCUGCGGUAUUUUAACUGUACUAAGGUAGCAUAAUAAUUUGCCUUAUAAUUUGAGGCUAGAAUGAAUGGUUUGACGAAGGUUAAUCUGUCUCCAUCUUAUUUUUUAGAAGUUAAUUUUUAAAGUGAAAAAGCUUAAAUCUUUCAAAGGGACGAGAAGACCCUAAUGAGCUUAUAAUUUUAUUAUCAUUAUUUAAAACAUUUAGGUGGUGGUAUAUAAAUUUUAAUUGGGGUGAUUAAGGAAUAAAUUGUGUAUAGUAACUUCCUUAAAUUAGGUAUUUUUAGAUAAAGUAACCAAUGUAAUAUUGCUUAUAGUAUAGUUACCAUAGGGAUAACAGCGUAAUUUGUUUAGAGAGUUCUUAUUGAAAAACGAGAUUGCGACCUCGAUGUUGGAUUAAAGUAACCCUAAGGUGCAGAAGCUUUAGUAGGUAAAUCUGUUCGA